CUCAAAAACCCGAAGCUCUGAUACCACUUGUUGGGAAAAAUAUCCCCCUGGCUCCCAACAACCUCCCAAUCCUCUAUUCUAAUAAACAGUACAUUUUCGCCAUGUGGCAAUUUCUUAACUCUCUUCCACCUUUUUUUUCCCGCCCAUAUUAUUAAACUGAAAUUCCAAUUCCACCCUGGUGCUACUAUAUAACCGCAUGUCCUAUUAAUUCCUUUUCUUCUCUUUUGAAAUUCAAUUUUUUUUGGAAUCAACUACGUGAUUUAUAUCAAGAAAUCAUUAAUUCUAAAAACCUAACAUUCCAAAGAAUCAGCAAUUACAUAGCAACAAAUCAGGAAACAGUAUCAUCUCCAAAUCAACAAUUAAAUCGCAAUAACCGGACCGUAUGUUUGGGGGUUAUUCGAUUAUUCAGUCGUCGUUUCGUGCUUUAUCUACGCAGGAAUAAUUAUGCCGAAGAAGUAGAUCCAUAUGAAGGGUUAUUCGUAUAUGAGCAUACCAAAAUUCUCAGGAUCAAAGAACAACGGGAAGAUCCACACCAGGGUGUAGAUUCUGUUACAAUGAACUUCAGGGAAGGAGAAAUCAAGGAGGGAUCACCGAAACUCUUGAAUAAAUUAGCAUUAUACAGGUAAUUCAUUCCAAAUUUUUUUUUUUUGUCAAUUUCCCUAUUUGGUCGAUUUGCUGAAAGUAAUCCUAUAGGUUUCAACCCUAAUGUUUAGAUAUGCUUAUCAUCAGACCUCCUUUCUCUUCUCCAAUCCUCUAUCUGACAUCAGGGGUGAUUCUGUUUCAUGUUUCAAAUCUACUAUUUUGCUCAAUAUUAUCAUCAGACUUGCUUUCUCUUCUCUAAUCCUCAAUAUUUUUAGAUAUGCUUAUCAUCAGACCUCCAAUCCUCUCUGGCAUCAGGUAUGAUUGUGCUUUGUGUUUCCAAUCCACUUGAAGCUUUUGUCUCCAUGUUGAAGUUCUUCGACACGUUGUGGCUUUCACCCAACUCACUUUGAGUGAAAGUGAUUAGAUUCUGAUUCUCAUGAAAGCUUACUUUUGAUUUUUUGGAUUUAUGUUUUCGUUUACAGAUUGAUGGUUAUUUGGUGAUGGUUAGUGACAUAUGAGAUUCAGUUAAGUUAAAAGCUGAUGAUGCACCAAGAAGAGGUUUUGUGUAUCAAGGGUCCAUAAUAAACGAAUCUUGCAACUAGAUAAAUUUUCUUGAAGGGUAAAGGUUUUACUUUUAUUAAAAGUUAUAAAAUUCGUGAGUGAAUGAUGUUAAUGUUUCUACAUGUAUAAUGGUGAGGUAAUAAUGGGCUGUAGCAAUAAAUGCAUUGGACAAUUUAUUAUUUUUUAUAAUUUCAUUAUAAUCU